rnacentral:rRNA from 1 species
GUCCUGAGUUCAAACCGGAGAGGCUUGGCCUGCCCAAUGAGUUUUGAAUGGCCGCCGUAUUUUGACUGUGCUAAGGUAGCAUAAUAAUUAGUUUCUUAAUUGGAAGCUUGUAGGAAAGGUUUGAUAAAAAAAUAACUGUCUUAAUUAUAAUUUAUAAAAUUUUAUUUUUAAGUUAAAAAGCUUAAAUUUUGUCAGGGGACGAGAAGACCCUAUAGAAUUUUAUAAAUUAUUAUUUAUUUUAUUUAGAAUUUAUUAAUAUAAUUAAAAAUUUUAUUUAAUUGGGGUGAUUGAAAAAUUUCGUUAACUUUUUUUUUUUAAUUACAAUAAUUAUUGAUUAGUUGAUCCUUACUAAUGAUUAAAAGAAUAAAUUACCUUAGGGAUAACAGCGUAAUAAUUUUUUAAAGAUCUUAUUAAAAAAAUUGAUUGCGACCUCGAUGUUGGAUUAAAAUAUCUUUUCGGGGCAAAUCCUGACCAAGUAGGUCGGUUCGCCUUUUACAAAUU